GCAUCCAUGGCUGAAUGGUUAAAGCGCCCAACCUAUACCUUACUAAAAAAGGGCAAGUAGGUUCGAUUCCUGCUGGAUGCG
rfam:Ananas comosus cultivar MD2 ACMD2_Scaffold_1277, whole genome shotgun sequence.